rnacentral:lncRNA from 1 species
ACGGAACGCAUUUCCAUAAAGAUUUUUCUUUAAACAUGUUAAUCUGAUUGUUGAAAUAUUGUUGAACUAGAAGUGAUUGCUGAAUUUUUUUUUUUUUUUUUUAAAUGAAGAAUCGACAAAUCCUGGAUCAGAAUUAAAACAAAUGUUCGUUGUUGAGUAUCUUUAUAGUGUGGCAGUACACAACGAGAAUACUCUGAUCCAUUCCAAUUUUAACAGUUUAUUAUGCUGGAUUUAAUGUUGCUUUGAAAGUUU